GUUCGUGCUGCUGACGCCGGGGCUCAUCGUGCAGAUACCGGGGAGGAGCAGAAUUGUCGAGUUCGGAAGUCUUCACACCAGCGGGGCGUCCAUAUUGGUUCAUACAGUCAUCUACUUUGCACUCAUCGCCAUCUUCCUCCUCGCAGUUCAAGUCCAUGUCUACAUCGGCUCUUAAAUGGUCGGGUCUGUAAGACUUCGCUUGUUUUCUU
rnacentral:misc_RNA from 1 species